CGAUAAUCUGCAGGGAGCCUGGAUAGCUGUAAUGCUUCAUUGCUGCUUCCUCCGUGUCUGGCUUUGCAUUAACUCUUCAAUUUGCUUGCUUUGGCUUCCCUGACUGUUAAAUGCAUACACACAGGGUCACUUCAACAUAGGAGAAAAUCGGCUGCCGCAGUCGGCUGCUCCUCAGCCUCCAAGCACCGGUGCUGGAGAUGUAGGCUACCUCUCCUGAUGGCCGGGGCCACCAUCUCAGCAGGCUUCGUCUGGAGGACUGAUCAAGUGUGAUGGAGCCGUCCUUCCCUCGGCUGCACUGCAUCAGCCCAGAACUAUGGAGAGAAAGACAGCAUGAGCAAUGGGUGCUGCUGUAGAUGAUCUGCGUCUGAGCUGUCCCACCAAAAUCACACAUACUGGCCUUCAUCAUUUUUGUUACAAAAUACAAUUAAUGCAGCAGCAAGUCCUCUAUGGACCAGAUUCUCAGAAGCAUGAUGCUACCCAACAGCUGACUCACCCACUGUACCUCUAACCUUCCUCCUGCCUAGAAAGUCUUUCCAUCAUGCCACCUCAUCACAGCAGCUCCUACCCACUGCCUGCUGUGAUUUUUCCCAUUCCCUCCCCCAAGGCAGGAUGCGGGCAGCAGCCCAGUGAAGACCCUGAGAUUUCUAGUGCUGCCAUAGCUGAGCCAUGGGGCUGCUGCACUGGGCAACUGGAGCAGUCUGGUGCAGGCAGUUUCAGCCCAUCCCCAGCUCUGGCCUCUCUGCCUCAAGCUGGUGUUCACUGCAGCCAUGGCAAGCGAGUAGCAAAAGUUGUCUACAAGCUUGCAGGUCUGAUUCCCUCUUUAGGAGAAAGACCAGAAAAAAAGCAAGUCUUGAAUAUCACGAUAGCUUGUUUUUUAAUGUUUCAGUCACUAACUUGCCAUGUUAGGUUCUAAAACUAGACCGUGACCCUGCAGUGGCCACAUCAUUAUUACCACACCCAAGAUAAUGGAGACAUCACCCAGAUCUCAGCUGGGUCCUGUCCUGUCAUCCAAGCAACAGCUGUCCUGAAUUAAACUCAUAAACAGUCACUCUGGUAAGGCAGAAUAUUGUUCAGACCAGGAAAUGUGUAAGGAAAAUAUUGCUGUAUAGAUCCAUUUUUGAAAAGUUAGUAUUUCUGAAUGGAAAGAGUUUAAUACACUUUAAUAACACCAACCAAAUAUGUUGGAAUAUAUUUGGAUAUAGUUAUUAGCACUCAGGUAGACUAAUGUAACUGUCCAGGAGACACUCUUCAAAAUGAGCCUGGCAAUACAGAGCAUUUGCUUUCUAUACUCUUCUGCAUUCUGCCAUCACAUAUCUAUGCUGCAAUUUGCCAUGUAUAAUAUUCACAUUAUUGCCUUAACUACCAUGUGCUUUAAGAGUGCCAUGUGACAGGGACUUUGAGGGAAGAGGAGAGGGAAGGGAUUCCAGCUGCUCAUGUAUCAUGCUUGCUCCCACCUGACAGCUUCUCCAGACAGGGUUGUACAUCCCCUCAUCAGUUGGAGCGAGAGGCAGGGCAUGCAGCUGGCUUUGUUGUUUCCCAAAUGCUAUUGCAGAGUGCACCAUGGGGCAGAUCAGGAUCAUGGGGUGUGUUUUGAAACAAAAUGGCUCUUGGCUGUGCAAAAUAGAAGUAACCAUUAGUAACAAAAGUGUGGGUAUGGUGCAGCACACAUAAACUCAUUUACUUAAGCAAAACCAUGCAGAUGCACCUGAGGUUACCUUUUGAACUCUCUGAAAUACAUAGCAGAAACUAACUGUGCAGUAUGCUGAUCUAAUUGUGCAUACAUAAGGGAAAAUGCUUUGCUACAUGCUUAAAUAAGCUCUGUAGAUAAAUUGGAUGCUAUCAAAUGAAUAAGUUUAUACAAUCAAAAAGCACAGGAGAUUUUGGCUAUCCUUUUACUCCAUAAGAUAGUUUUGUACAGCAAUAAGCAGAAGACCCAACUAUACAGCGCCAAGGGUAUCUCACAGGUAACAUCCAGAACCCUGGGAAAACAGGAUGUAUGAGAGGCAUUUAAGAAUACUAUAAGGUUGCUGUUAAAGAUAGAGAAAUAGCAAAAUUGCUGUUCAAGUCUUAUUUAAAUUAUACUCCCCACUGUUUUCCAUUAUGUUUGAAACCUGGUAAUAGUUCAGCAGCCUGUCAAAAAAAAAAAAAAAAAUUCUGUAAGUGGGAGGGCUGACAAAAUUACAGCAGCUGGGUAUCUAUUCCUCUGAACUUCACUGUGCAGAGCUACUGUGGAUCUUCCUGCAGAAAGCGAAUCAAGGUGGAAGAGAAAAAUUGGUUUCAUUAACAGUCUCUGUCACUGAAGAGUCAAAUAAUUUUUCACUCUUCAGUUGCGUUCAAUUACCGAGAUAUUACUAGAAGUAGUUCUUCUGUGACAGAGAGCUUUAACGGUGUUUUUUCUUUUUUAGCACUUUGCUUAUUGUGCACUCCUGUUGCACCCAUUGGUGGGUGCAGAUUAACACCUGUUACUGUUUUUACAGAAAAUGAUGAAUGGUGCCAUUACUGGCACAGCUUUAUGUGAGCAAAAUUAAGCUCGUGCAUUUUAAAUUUUGUAGUUACAGUAAUUACCACAAUUACUUUCAAAUUAUAGUUUGCACGGACCGUGCAUCAAAGCUGAAAAACUGCGAACAGCCAUCUACCCACGGUUCUUGGAGAGGGCUGUAGGAAAAAUGCAAACUGCGGGCUUGCUCCAUGCCUUCCUUGAGUCAAGAGAAAGCUAUAAGGCACCCGACUUUUUUGCCCUCAGCUAGCCAUUUUCAUAACACUCCUCUCUAAGACAUGUAUAAGGAACUCACAUUUCAAUUUAUAGCUAUAUUUGAUUCAAAUAUGAAAUGUGUAGUUCCAAAGCUUGACUCAAAUCACAAGUGCUUAUCUGGAUUUUUGAAACCUGACCCAUGUGACUGAACUAACAGGCAUAGUUGUACUUUGGAGUUAACUGCACACAUCAGUUGUACCAGCCAUUAUAGUUCAUCUACCAACCAUUAUAGUUCAUCUCACCUGGUGUUGACUGUUGAAUGUCUGAGCAAUCUAAGCUGCUCAUCGUGGUUUCCUUGGCAGUUAUUGGGGAUCACUCCACCAAAGACAAACAAGUGGUAUUAAUGAGAACAGUUGCCCUCCAGUAGUGUCUAUUUCUUUCUUUUGACUAUAGAGGGAGCCAAGAAAACUCGCUUGGACCAGAAGCCCAGCUUUUACUUAGACAUCUAGCUGAGCUGAAGGAAAACUGCCAGUACCAGGCUGAAUUUCCUACAGUGAGAUGUACAGAAAUCAUAGCCCGUACUUUCUGAAAGAUUUAUAGAUAAACACACAUGAAUAUACACUGUAAUUUCUGUAUGGACAAAAUGGACUGGGACCUGUGGAAUUAAUUUUAUCAUCCUUCGUAGCAGAAAGCUGAGCUGUUUAACAAAGGAAAAAGAAGGGGAAUAAAAACAAACUGCCUUCAGUCUUUCUGCUGGGACUGAAGAUGGCCCACUGAGGUCAAAAGAAGGCUUUCCACCUAUUCCCAUGUGCACUGAAUCCAGUCUCUGCUAUGUUGCUCCGUUACUGGGGUAUGCUGAUGUGCUACAGCAGCCACCCACAUAACACAGUAGCCCACCCAUAUGCCAUAUGCAUUACAUAGGUUUUGAGCUGACUAUUUCUAACUGCUCUAUUUUCAUCUCUGAAUGAGAAUGGUACGUUUCAGAGACCCAAGCUUAAACAUAUGGAAAAAUGGAAGAUGCCGCUGGCUUGAAAGUCUGCUGCUGUGCUGCCCGUUGGAGACUUGCCUUGGGCAUGAGGACCACAGCCACAAAAACAGCUUGGCGCUGGGAGCCCCACUUUGCUGUGGCAUAAGCUGGGUUCCUGCUGACCUCACAUCUGUCUUUGCGUGGGUUUUGCUGAGGCUGAGAUGUUAAAGUGGAAGUAAAUGCUGUACAUAAGAGAAACAUGUCAGUCAUAAAGGAGAGUGCACAGCAACCAUGCUUCAUCUGGCACAGUAUUUCAUAGGGUUAAGGGGGGUGAUGAGAUUGUAGGGCUAUGCGGGUCAGUUUAGUCUCACCCAAGGGAUCUCAGGGUUGGUUCAGUUUGGUGAAGAGGACUGCUAAGGCUUUAUACACCUGGGUUGGCUUGGGAAGUGGUUGACAGAACAAACUAUUGCUAUUACAGCCUAUACGUCCAGGAUGGAAGUGCUAAGACAACCAAAGGAGGAGGGUAGAACUGUGGACCACUGCUCCCCUGUCAACAACAACCUUGCUGCAGUGUGGUCUCUUCUAUACAUUAGCAGUCAUCACUGGUUUCUCAUGGAAUAAUGUUUUGGCCAGGUAAAUGUAAGGUUUGGGUUUGGCCUCCAGUCAGAUGGUACCCAAAAAUAAGUAUCACAUGACACCCGUCUCUUAUUAAAAAGCCAGGCAGAAGAAAGCACAGAUGCAAAGUAGUUUGGGCACCAUAAACAAACCACCACCAGAAAAGCCAGGUAUGUAUGAGAUCAUCUUUUUAGAGAACAUUUUUUCUCAGGCAUAAUGAGGUGGGAAGAGAGACAUUGGUAGAAGAUUUUCCCUUACUGCAAUGCCUCUUUUAUUAUUUUCAUUAAAUUUCUUUUCACUCCUGCUAAUACACAGAACAAUAAAAUAAAGCAACUUGAAAGUUCACAGUAUGCAAGAUUCAUCUUGCAUCCACAGAAUUUGUGUAACCCAUUUUAAACUGAUGUUUGCUUGUUUAAGAAUGCACACCUGCACAUUACCACUUGUGGUAAAUAAGUUUAUUAGCCAAGGAAUGUC